rnacentral:lncRNA from 1 species
AUGGCAUAUUUUAUAUCUUUAUUAAGUGUCCUUUUGGUUAUAGGGUUUGUAGGUUUCUCCUUGAAACCUUCUCCUAUUUAUGGGGGCCUAGAGCUAAUUAUUAGUGGUGCUGUAGGUUGUGGUAUUGUGUUGAUUUUUGGUGUGGCUUUUGUGGGGUUGACAGUCUUUUUGGUUCACUUGGGUGGCAUGAUGGUUGUUUUUGGCUAUACCAUGGCAAUGGCUGCUGAGGAAUAUCCUGAAACAUGAGGGUCAAAUAUUGACAUCUGAGGGGCUUUACUAUUAUGAGUAUUAAAGGGGUUGCUGUCGGUUUGGUGAAUAGUUGAGCAUGAUGGGGUGGGGAUCAUGAUUGAUUUUAACAGCAUAGAGAGUUGGAUGAUUUUUGAGGGGGAGGGGGAGGGGUUGUUGCAUGAGGAUCCUGUGGGUGCGGCUGCCUUGUAUAGUUAUGGGUGUUGAAUAGUGGUAGUUGCUGGUUGAUCAUUAUUUGUUACUAUUUACGUUGCGAUUGAAAUUACUCGGGGUAAU